AAAAAGGCCCUUUUCAGGGUCAUAAAAAUUUAAUAAAAGAAAUAU
rfam:Stegodyphus mimosarum contig1895, whole genome shotgun sequence.